rnacentral:lncRNA from 1 species
UUUUUUAAGCAGUCUUUCAAAAUAAGCCAUUACUGCUCCCAACCGGUCAUGGUGCACCUGUGUUAAAAGUUACCAUACUGCAGUAAGGCUGGCAAAACGAAUGUGUGCCAGAUUCUCACCCAUUACAGUUUGUUGCUUCAUGUAUUCAAUUAAGCCAGUAUUUACAGUGACCCAAAGUUAACAUGCUGGGAUGUAAACUGGCACACACGCACUUCUGUUAGCUAUGCUACAGUGCAGGAACAUUCAGCUAAGAUACAGGAAGGGGAGUAAGGGUGAACUUCGACUCAGCACAAGCAGCAGUUAUCACUAGCCCUUUGGCACUCCACUUACUUGCAAGAAGCCCGAUUUGCUAAAAGAGAAUGAUAAAAACAGCACAGUUAUAUUUCACAAUACCAUGAGACCACACUGUCUUGGUUUACUACAAGCAUUCCCUUCUGAAUUCUAAAUUGGUUUUGUUCAAAUUAGUUUUGUUCAAAUGGAAUACUAAAUGUACUAAACGUACGAGUAAAUACCUGCGCCUGGAAUGACUGUUUACAGUAAAGCUGAAGGCCAUCAACUUCUCGCCUAUAAGCAUUAUGAAAAGAUGGUCUCUCCUAAGAAAACUGUACUUUACUGCCACUACAGAAAAGGGGAUACAAGGAGUUUCCCACCCCCUCACCCCCCUUUUUUUUUAAACCCACAAGCCAUCCGAGAGCUUAUGCCAGGAGCUGCUGGUUGCUUUUACAGAUGAGGCAACAUAACCAUGAACUGGUAUGUUACAAUGACGACAAGUCAAAAUGACCAGUUUGAUUAUUUUCACAUUAAUCUGAGAUUGACCUAAGAUAAACUGUUCUUAAACAGGCUGAGUCUUUUCAGAAAAGAAUACAGGUUGUUAAAUAUGCAAGGACAAGUUCUUCUAUUUCUACUAGUAAUUACACACUUAAACCCUUAAAUAAUCAAGGUAUGCUUUUUUCAUAACGUAGUGUUUUGUAGGGGUUUUUUGUUGUUGUUUUGGGGGUUUUUUUGAGCAUGGCAAAAUCCAAUGAAUAUUUCAUAUUCUAAGAAGGUAUUAAUUCACGGUUUUAUUUCUUCUUUCCAACAGUAUACUGUUAUGGUACCACCACUGAACCAUACAAUUGGUUCCUCCACCAGGCAUGGCACAUAGCAUGAGCUCCUUAAGCUACAUUUACUGAGAAAGACUGUACUAUGGAUGGCUCUUCAUGGCAAGUCUUAGAAGAAUUUGAAACAGGAAGCAUCACUAUGAAGCCCCAUGGCAAAGGAGGGCAAACUAACUAGACUACAUCAGAUACAAAUUCUCUAUACAAAAUGGUUUCUCUUCAUGUUGGGAAAGAAACAUUUCAUAAUAAGAACAUAUCUUCUCAUCUGAUUUUACUGAUUUGCCAUUACUGAAGCUAACUGUGUCUGAAAUGUCAUUUUAGUUUUCGCAGCAGAGACCCUUCUUUGAUUUAAGGAGGUCAGGUGAAAUGGGAGGGAGAAGAAGAAAACUUAGAAAAAAAAGAAUGCUUUAUAAUGACAUUCUCAAAUUACUAUAGUGACUACUAUAGGAAUCUGAAAGAUUGUCUCAGAAAUAACUGGGAUAGCAAAUGUGGACAAUACAAAUGUCUUGACCAGUGAGCAAAGAGGAGCACUGGAAAACUGGAAAUACAUUAAAGAUGCAUAUUUCUUGCUAGUAAUCUUCUUUAAAUGCUGUCAACAAGAAGCUAUAGUGAGAACACAACAUUUCAGUGCAAAACUGUGAACUACAAAAAAGUAGUAUAUCAAUGAAAUUUCCCAAGUAUCACAGUAUUCAAGCUGGUUAGAAUGCUGCAGAAAUACUUAGGGACACCCUCAGGUUCUUUGUCAUCCUCCACUCUAGCCAGCAGCAAUCAUAAGUAUGUGUUUCAUUGAAGAUUCUACGUGAGCCACAAAACCAAGGAAAUAAAUAAGCACCGGACAGUUACUUAGUUCAAGCAAUAUAUUCUUCCUAUUCAGUUAGUUGGAAUUGAUGGAUAGGUCUUUCAGAAUUUAAAAUAUUAAAUGGCAUGUUUCUGUAUUUCAAUGACUUGAGUCAAACCACUAACUUAAGCCUGAGUCCGCCAUGCAAACACACACCUGCAAGUUUGCAGGUGUAAAAUCAUCAUACUCAAACCCCCCCCCAUUUAAGCAUAAAAUUUCAUCAGCGAAACUGCAGCAGCUAAUUUUGAGAAGUGGAGGAGUUGGCUAUUUGUGUCUUAAUAGGCAGCCUGUUUAUUGCAAACCUAUAGCAGCCCUUCCUUGCUUAGGAAGUAUCAGAGAUACUGUCCAAUUCCUUUCUAUGGCAAUGUAUUUUCAGAAACAAUGAAAAAUACAUGCAAUAUCAUUAAAAUAAGAGCCUUCCAAAUCUACCAGCACUUCUGCAACUCAAGUAAAACAAACACCCACAUUACCAAGAGCUGUUUGUACACAAAUCUUAGAUACCCUUAUCCC